AGUCAAGUAAUUAAGUGCAUGUGGUGGAUGCCUUGGCAGUCAGAGGCGAUGAAAGACGUGAUAGCCUGCGAAAAGCUCCGGGGAGGCGGCAAAUAUCCUUUGAUCCGGAGAUGUCUGAAUGGGGGAACCCACCUACUUUAAGGUAGGUAUUGCAACAUGAAUACAUAGUGUUGCAAGGCGAACGAGGGGAAGUGAAACAUCUCAGUACCCUUAGGAAAAGAAAUCAAUUGAGAUUCCCUCAGUAGCGGCGAGCGAACGGGGAUCAGCCCAUUAAGUUAUGUGUGUUUUAGUGGAACGCUCUGGGAAGUGCGAACGUAGAGGGUGAUAUUCCCGUACACGAAAGGGCACACAUAAUGAUGACGAGUAGGGCGAGGCACGUGAAACCUUGUCUGAAUAUGGGGGGACCAUCCUCCAAGGCUAAAUACUCCUGACUGACCGAUAGUGAACCAGUACCGUGAGGGAAAGGCGAAAAGAACCCCUGUGAGGGGAGUGAAAUAGAUCCUGAAACCGCAUGCAUACAAGCAGUGGGAGCACCUUCGUGGUGUGACUGCGUACCUUUUGUAUAAUGGGUCAGCGACUUAUAUUCAGUAGCGAGGUUAACCGUAUAGGGGAGCCGUAGAGAAAUCGAGUCUUAAUAGGGCGUUUAGUUGCUGGGUAUAGACCCGAAACCAGGCGAUCUAUCCAUGAGCAGGUUGAAGGUUGGGUAACACUAACUGGAGGACCGAACCCACUGUCGUUGAAAAGCCAGGGGAUGACUUGUGGAUAGGGGUGAAAGGCUAAUCAAGCCUGGUGAUAGCUGGUUCUCCCCGAAAGCUAUUUAGGUAGCGCCUCGGACGAAUACCAUAGGGGGUAGAGCACUGUUUCGGCUAGGGGGUCAUCCCGACUUACCAAACCGAUGCAAACUCCGAAUACCUAUGAGUACUAUCCGGGAGACAGACUGCGGGUGCUAACGUCCGUAGUCAAGAGGAAAACAAUCCAGACCGCCAGCUAAGGCCCCAAAAUCAUAGUUAAGUGGGAAACGAUGUGGGAAGGCAUAGACAGCUAGGAGGUUGGCUUAGAAGCAGCCACCCUUUAAAGAAAGCGUAAUAGCUCACUAGUCGAGUCGGCCUGCGCGGAAGAUGUAACGGGGCUAAAACUAUGUGCCGAAGCUGCGGAUGUAUACUUUGUAUACGUGGUAGGGGAGCGUUCUGUAAGCCGAUGAAGGUGUGUUGAGAAGCAUGCUGGAGGUAUCAGAAGUGCGAAUGCUGACGUGAGUAACGACAAAACGGGUGAAAAACCCGUUCGCCGAAAGACCAAGGGUUCCAGUCCAACGUUAAUCGGGGCUGGGUGAGUCGACCCCUAAGGCGAGGCCGAAAGGCGUAGUCGAUGGGAAAAUGGUUAAUAUUCCAUUACUUCUGUGUAAUGCGAUGAGAGGACGGAGAAGGCUAAAUCAGCCUGGCGUUGGUUGUCCAGGUGAAAGGAUGUAGGCAUGUAUCUUAGGCAAAUCCGGGGUACUCUAUGCUGAGAUCUGAUAGCAAGCUGUACUUGUACAGCGAAGUGGUUGAUGCCAUGCUUCCAGGAAAAGUCUCUAAGCUUCAGUUACACAGGAAUCGUACCCGAAACCGACACAGGUGGUCAGGUCGAGUAGACCAAGGCGCUUGAGAGAACUCUGCUGAAGGAACUAGGCAAAAUGGUACCGUAACUUCGGGAGAAGGUACGCUGUUGUUGGUGAUGGAACUCGCUUCCUGAGCUGACGACAGCCGCAGAAACCAGGCCGCUGCAACUGUUUAUUAAAAACAUAGCACUCUGCAAACACGAAAGUGGACGUAUAGGGUGUGAUGCCUGCCCGGUGCUGGAAGGUUAAUUGAUGGGGUUAGCGUAAGCGAAGCUCUUGAUCGAAGCCCCAGUAAACGGCGGCCGUAACUAUAACGGUCCUAAGGUAGCGAAAUUCCUUGUCGGGUAAGUUCCGACCUGCACGAAUGGCAUAAUGAUGGCGGCGCUGUCUCCAGCAGAGGCUCAGUGAAAUCGAAAUCGCUGUGAAGAUGCAGUGUACCCGCGGCUAGACGGAAAGACCCCGUGAACCUUUACUGCAGC
rnacentral:rRNA from 1 species